CCAUCAAUAUGCAUGCGCCAAAUGUUAUGGAGGAUAUGAAUGCAGGUGCCCCCCAAAAUAUGAAUGUUGUUACAGCGGACAACCUCACAGAUCUCCACAGCCAAUUGUACUCCUCGUUUCGUAAAGCUUCUAGCUUCUGAAGCUGCCAUGAUCUUGGCCUGCAACCUUUUCUGCAUUCUGGUCAGUGGAAUAUUGCAAGCCAUUAUUGCCAGUGUUGCUGCUAAACCAGCCCAGGCUCCAACCCCUAGAUUUUGAUGGAGAACAUAGACAGCAAGAGAAAGCUGAUAGGCGGAGUCCCUUUUGAUAGAUAUGUGAUAUCAAAGCCGCCCGCAGCCGCAUCCCGAGCUGUCGAGCCCCGAAAAUCCAUUGUCUCUGAGCAACUGUUUCCACAACUUUGGCACUGAGAAAAGCAACAGCCAGAAGAAACUGAACCAAGAUACUCAUGAUGAAUAUCAGGUGUAUCAGUGCAAAAGCGUCCAUCCAGAAGCAAGAGGCAGGAAAAAAGAACAAGAAGGGAAAAAGGAGAAACAAAGAUAAUAGCAAAGAAAACCCAUGCAGUGCAAUCAAACUCAUGGAUGUCUCGGCGGGGAGGAAUCAGACGUAUGCAUGAACCAAUCUCUGCAUGCAGAUGCAGGGUAUGAUUAAACCUUACUUGAAGA